CUCUCUCCCUCGCUGGUCGUUUGCUUCUUCCCCAUGAAAGAAACCAGAUCCAAUGCCAUGAACCAGAUCCUGUAGAGCUGCCAUGGCAAAGCAGCCAAGGUGAGGAGAUCUUGGUUAGAAAAACAGGAAGAAGAGAAGAGAAGCUUACCAAGCAACGUCAAGCCCAUGUGGAGGUGCGGUAUGCGAUGUCGAUGCAGUGUAGAGAAAGAACAGAGCAGGACUCCUGACUGUAGCUUCACGGUUCGCUUGUUGUUGCCUUGGCCAUGUGAAUCCCAUUUUUUUUGCACUAAGAUAGGGGUUCUGGAAAACCCAGUAGUUCUUCUAUUUCUGCUAGCUAAACUUGCUCCAUUCUCCUGACAGUAGGAAAUCUAUUUUGGGCUGGUCUCGCUGUUCAAAAAUUCAGAAACUGCUUGAACAAAGAUGUAGUUAAUGUGUUUGGGC